UUAGCACACAAAUUCAGGGGCCCAUGUUGGAUGUACUGAUAAUGUCCUCUGACUGUUAUCUACCUUUAUACACCCAUGGGACUCCUGUGUAACUGAGGUCCCAAGGCCAUUGUCCUACUUAUAUUUCUACAACUUAUAUCAUUGAGCCAAUAGCAGGCUUUCUGCUGAUCACGUGUGCACACUUUUCAGGUUAACAGUAGGUGAGGCGAAGGAACUUCUUGGAGGAGAAAUCAACUCAGGAGGGCGUACGACACACGGCUUCUGUCACCUAGAUAAGCCAUGUGCUUGUAGUAAGAAAAGAAGAGUUUUGUGUAACCACAAAGAGAAGGACUGGGAAGGGAGCCAGGAUCCUCCUGUAAUCGCCUUGGAUUCAUUCAUGAGAGACAAGUCAGAUGGAAAGUGUAUAAAAGCUCCCUCCUGGCCAGAGAGAAGGCAGAGGAUAAGGACUGGUUGUUUGGUUUAGGGUUCUAUUAUUUCUGGGGAGUCCCCUUGUGUUUCUUGGCCUGUCGGUACACAACUGGCCAUAAAUUGUACUCACACCUUCCGAAGGCUUGAAAUAAAAACUCUAAACAAAUACAUUGA